UACAGAGGGGGCAAGCGUUGUUCGGAAUUACUGGGCGUAAAGGGCGCGUAGGCGGCCUGUUAAGUCGAACGUGAAAUCCCCGGGCUCAACCCGGGAACUGCGUCCGAUACUGGCAGGCUUGAAUCCGGGAGAGGGAUGCGGAAUUCCAGGUGUAGCGGUGAAAUGCGUAGAUAUCAAGAGGAACACCUGCGGCGAAGGCGGGUUGCUGGGCCGACACUGACGCUGAGGCGCGAAAGCGUGGGGAGCAAACAGG
rnacentral:rRNA from 1 species